rnacentral:tRNA from 1 species
GGAUGUUGCUUAGUGGUAGAGCAUGUGCUUAGUAUACAUGAGGCCCUAGGUUCAAUUCACAGCACCA